rnacentral:lncRNA from 10 species
CAGGCCCCGCCCCGCCGCUGAGGGCCGAGACCCCCAACCGGUGAAGGGGCGCGGUCUGCUUGGGGGUCCUGCCAUUCUGGACCCCUGCGGAGACCUGGAAUUUUCUUUUUCGCCGCCCCACCUCCCACCACCAUCUCACCCCACCGCCAUGGAGAAGAGGCAGGAAAGGCCGUUGACAAACGGGGACACUGAGGCUCGAACACCCUGCCCUGUCUAGGGCCUCAGCCCUCGGCAGCCCGGCCUCCCGGGGAGCAGGAGGCGCCUUGUGUUUCAGGGUUUCAAAGGACGUCCGCAUCUGGUUUCUCUUUCCAGGCCGCUACAUGCCAGCGGGGGUUCCAGGCAAGGCAGAGGGCUGCCAUGUGGACUCUGCACACGCCUCCCCCGUCCAACACAGAGCCUCCACCCGGG